AGGCAGCAGUAGGGAAUCUUCCACAAUGGGCGCAAGCCUGACGGAGCAACACCGCGUGAGUGAAGAAGGGUUUCGGCUCGUAAAGCUCUGUUGUUAAAGAAGAACACGUAUGAGAGUAACUGUUCAUACGUUGACGGUAUUUAACCGGAAAGUCACGGCUAACUACGUGCCAGCAGCCGCGGUAAUACGUAGGUGGCAAGCGUUAUCCGGAUUUAUUGGGCGUAAAGAGAGUGCAGGCGGUUUUCUAAGUCUGAUGUGAAAGCCUUCGGCUUAACCGGAGAAGUGCAUCGGAAACUGGAUAACUUGAGUGCAGAAGAGGGUAGUGGAACUCCAUGUGUAGCGGUGGAAUGCGUAGAUAUAUGGAAGAACACCAGUGGCGAAGGCGGCUACCUGGUCUGCAACUGACGCUGAGACUCGAAAGCAUGGGUAGCGAACAGGAUUAGAUACCCUGGUAG
rnacentral:rRNA from 1 species